UACGUAUGGAGCAAGCGUUAUCCGGAUUUACCGGGUGUAAAGGGAGCGCAGGCGGCUUUGCAAGUCUGAUGUGAAAGGCCGGGGCUCAACCCCGGGACUGCAUUGGAAACUGUAAAGCUAGAGUGCCGGAGAGGUAAGCGGAAUUCCUAGUGUAGCGGUGAAAUGCGUAGAUAUUAGGAGGAACACCAGUGGCGAAGGCGGCUUACUGGACGGCAACUGACGCUGAGGUUCGAAAGCGUGGGUAGCAAACAGG
rnacentral:rRNA from 1 species